rnacentral:rRNA from 1 species
CACGUAGGGCGCAAGCGUUGUCCGGAAUUAUUGGGCGUAAAGAGCUCGUAGGCGGUCUGUUACGUCUGCUGUGAAAACCCAGGGCUUAACCCUGGGCUUGCAGUGGAUACGGGCAGACUAGAGGCAGGUAGGGGAGAAUGGAAUUCCUGGUGUAGCGGUGAAAUGCGUAGAUAUCAGGAGGAACACCUGUGGUGUAGACAGCUUACUGGACCAUCACUGACGCUGAAACACGAAAGCGUGGGUAGCAAACAGG